CAUAGCGAGGCCCAGCUGUAUCUCGAACACACCUAUUUAAAUAUACCAAAUAAAUAAUAAUAAAAAAAUACAUAAAAACAAAUAUUUAUCUUCUAAUUUUUCUAAUUCUGAUCCUGCCAUGCUAAAGGGCUAACGGUUAUCUAGGUUUGAUGAAAGUUAAAUAUUUAAAUAAGUAACGUUCUAAUAACAUUUGAUAAACAGGACACUAUAUAUGUGAGCAGUUCAAUAGAAUAGCGCUGCGAGACUUUUAUUUUGGCAGCUUUAUUGUGCUAGCUUGGAGGUGGGUGGUUCCGGGGUAUGUGUGAAAGUUUGUUGCCGGACUUUUCAGUGCAGAGCUCUACGGAUUUGUUAGACCGAUACAAUCAGAAGAUUUUACAAAGAUCUUAAAUUGCUGAAACAGGAUAGAAGGUGCCAUCCACAAACAUGUCCAAUACUCAGCAAAUGUCCUCACCUACACCUUGCAGAGAAAUGCAGAAAAGUACAGGCAAGAAGAAAAAUCAUGACUGUUCAGAAUGUGGUAAGAGUUUCAGUCAGCAGUGUCAGCUUAAUCGACACCUGCGCGUUCACACAGGAGAGAAACCUUUCCGAUGCUCAGAGUGUGGUAAGAGUUUUAGUCAUCAGAGUACUCUCCAACUACACCAGCGUAUUCACACUGGGGAGAAACCGUAUUCCUGCACGGACUGUGGGAAGAGUUUUAAUCAUUUGACUCAUCUCAAAGCACACAAGCUUAUUCACACCGGAGAGAAACCAUAUUCCUGCUCGGAGUGUGGGAGGAGUUUUAAUCGUCAGAGUCAUCUUCUUAGACACCAGCUCAUUCACACUGGAGAGAAACCGCAUCACUGCUCAGACUGUGGGAAGAGUUUCAGUCAUCAGAUUUCUCUACUUCGACACCAACAUGUUCACACAGGAGAGAAACCGUAUCACUGCUCAGAAUGUGAGAAAAGUUUUACUACACAGAAUAAUCUCCAGCAACACCAGCGCAUUCACAUCGGAGAGAAGCCAUAUCAGUGCACAGACUGCAAAAAAAGUUUUAACCAUCGGAGUACGCUUCGACAACACAAACGCAUUCACACUGGAGAGAAACCGUAUGACUGCUCAGACUGUGGAAAAAGUUUUAACCAUCAGAGCCAUCUCAAAAAACACCAGCUUGUUCAUACAGAAGAAGAAAAAACGCAUCACUGCUCAGAUUGUGGAAAGAGCUUCGGGAAUUCAAAAACUUUAAAGAGACACAAGUGCAUUAUGACCAGAAAUGGAGAUUGACACAAUGAAGUCAUUUCAGGUUUUAGUACAGAAUCCAGUGUAAACUGCUUAUAAUGAGAAAACCCUUAUUAAUAAAACGGAAUAUAGUUUUGUAUGCUAAAUGUCAAUUUCAAAAUAUGCUAAAUGUCAGCCAGUAUUGUAUACCUCCAGUCAUAAGAUUUGGUGAAUAGGAGGACACUUGGUUAAACAUUAGUUAUGAUUGAUGUUAUUUCAAAAGGGAGUUACAUAAAUUGACAAAGCUGGGAGAGGUUGUCAACUAAAUUAAAAAAAAAUCUGCCGUUUGCAGAUUACUUCACAGCCAUAUUAGGAAAUGCAAAGCUCCACAUCACUGUCCCUUAAGCAGGAAGGCUCAGCAUACUAUUCAGUGUGACAUGAGCGCUGCCUGAUUGACAUUUGCUCUAAAAUGAUUAUACAUAUUAUACACUUUAAUAUGAGUGAUUGAAUAUUGUAUUGAUUUUGGUUUAUUUUUUUCUUUAUUUACGGGUUUUUGUAUUCUGUACUCAGGUUGGCUGGGAAGAUGUAAGUGUUAUUUUUCAUUCGUUGUUUCUCAUGUGAUUAUUGUGCCCAUUUUUAAUUACAUGCCGUGUUUUUAUGAUUAGUUUUACUUAUGCAUUUGGUUAUCCACCUUCUAACGAUAAUGCCAAUUUUCUAAUCAAAGAACAUCAUGAGUAAAUAUACCUUGGUGUCUAGGAAUCUGCAAAGAUCUAACAAGCCUUUCAAAGGGUUAAAUGCAUAUUAACCAAAAAAUAAAUGUUUAACAUUUAGCUUACUUUGAAAUUUAUACAAGAAAUUUCCUUGAAUCUACAAGCUGUACUGAGGUUUUUAGAAAUCCGGUGCCCGUGCUAAAAAAAAAAAAAAAAAAAAAAAGAAAAAAAGUUUUUUAUUCCCAGCAUGCACUGUAAUGUAAUGUCGGAACUACCAGCAUACUCGUCACUAGUUUCCCUGACAGAGCGUAGCAGGCAUGUGAAUGUCUUAAAUACUAAUAAUAUAUACAAUAAACAACAGGGCUCAGCAUCUUUAAAGCAGAUAAAAGUCACAGAAAAUAUUUGGAGAUAACCACACCUUCACACUCUUAUUCUUAAAUGUUUUAUACAUUUAUAUAUACAGUUAUUAUUUUUACUGUUCACAUUAUAAUUCACUUAAUAACCUUAUGAUCUCUGCUCUCUUUUUAACUGUGUCACAAUGACACAAGGCUUUGGAGGUUGUUUUUACUUUUUCAGGAAUCAGGAAGGUCAGAGUGUUUUCAUCAACAGUGAGAGCUGUGAGGAGAACGUGACCCUGAGUGGCAGAGAAGCUUCACUGCUUUUCUGCUGUUCUGGGACCAGUGCAUAUGAACUAGGAGACAACAAGCUCUCUGAGUGAAGUGCUGGGAACCUCUCCUCAGAUAGCCAGCGCUUGCCUGUUCUACACGCCGUAAAGUCGCACACAGGCCAGAAGAUCUUUCCAUCCACUCUUUUUCCUCUCUGUUUCCUCUUCUCACAGACUUUAGGACACUUAAGGACUGUAUGCUGUGUUCAUGAAGGACACAGAGCUGAACAACAUCAUGAUAAGAACCUGUUGCUCAGACAGGCUGGAGCGGAUCACGUCAUUAAAACUGGACAACAAACUGUUUACUGGACUCUGCUGACGUAAUCAUAUGAUAAGUUCUGUCCAAUCACAUGUCAUUUGCAAAAUGUAUAACUGCUUGGAUGAAGUCUGAGGAGCUCUCUCUGUCCCUCGACUGGCUUUAGUUUCUUUCUCUUUCUUUUUCUCUCUCUCUCUUUCUCUCUCUCUCUUUCUUUCUCUCUCUCUCUGGGUUGCGAAUGUGUUGAUCUAUCGAGAUUGUAUUCGUUGAUGUACUUUUACUCUUUUCUAAUAUAUAUCUUUUAAUUUUUGUUCCUUUUAUAUAUCUGUAAUGCUGAAACUAUUUUUCAAGUAAACUUUAAUAUAUUUUAAAUUCUAA